rnacentral:rRNA from 1 species
CCUACGGGUGGCAGCAGUGGGGAAUAUUGCACAAUGGGGGAAACCCUGAUGCAGCAACGCCGCGUGAGCGAAGAAGGCCUUCGGGUCGUAAAGCUCUGUCCUAAGGGAAGAAAAAUGAAGGUACCUUAGGAGGAAGCCCCGGCUAACUACGUGCCAGCAGCCGCGGGAAUACGUAGGGGGCGAGCGUUAUCCGGAAGCACUGGGCGGAAAGGGUGCGCAGGCGGCCACUUAAGCCAGGGGUGUAAGGCUACGGCUCAACCGUAGUAAGCCUUUGGAACUGAAUGGCUUGAGUGCAGGAGAGGGGAGUGGACUUCCUUGUGUAGCGGUGAAAUGCGUCGAUAUUAGGAGGAACUCCAGUGGCGAAGGCGACUCUCUGGACUGUAACUGACGCUGAGGCACGAAAGCGUGGGGAGCAACCAGGAUUAGAUACCCUAGUAGUC